rnacentral:rRNA from 1 species
AUUGAACGCUGGCGGCAGGCCUAACACAUGCAAGUCGAACGAGUGGCGGACGGGUGAGUAAUGUCGGGGAAACUGCCUGAUGGAGGGGGAUAACUACGGGAACCGGUAGAUAAUACCGCAUAACAUCAGAUGUGCCCUGAGUGGAUUAGCUUGUUGGUGGGGUAACGGCUCACCAAGGCGACGAUCCCUAGCUGGUCUGAGAGGGUGACCGGCAACACUGGAACUGAGACACGGCCCAGACUCCUACGGGAGGCAGCAGUAGGGAAUAUUGCACAAUGGGCGCAAGCCUGAUGGAGCCAUGCCGCGUGAGUGAAGAAGGCCUUCGGAUUGUAAAAUACUGUCAGCAGGGAAGCGGUACCCAAAGAGGAAGCCCCGGCUAACUCCGUGCCAGCAGCCGCGGUAAUAC